rnacentral:lncRNA from 1 species
CUCUGAUAAAGUAGUUUCCCUUGAGGCAGGUCUCUUUGACCUUGAGCCUAUUUCAAAAUGGCUACUUUCCCCUCUUCCUGUCUGAAGCACUGGUCAGGUUUCUUCAGUCUUCACCAUAAGAACCUGGAGUUUCUUCAGGUUAAACCUGUGAAAGUGUAGGUGCUCCCCUAGGAGUAGGCCCCAGGAGGUUUUAAUGCUCAAGCCAUUCCACACUCAGCCUCCACCAAUUAGUCAAUUACCACCUGAGUGUUCCUACAAGUUAUGGCUCUAGCUAGUAAACUGACCUCAGCUGUUACUCUUUGUAUUUACUUGUCUCUCCAGUUUUUAAGGAAGCAGUUUGGCCUGUGGGAGUUCAGUUCCCGGAUGGACCUAAGAAGAGGUGUUGGCUUUCAGGUCGUGCAGUGGUGUUUACGUCCAAGAACUAAAACUAAAUUCCUAGAGCUGUGGAAUGACAAAGAUGCAAUUAUCUACAUCCUAAGAUGUUAUCAUCCAACAAAGAGGAUUAUUUUUUACUUUUGGCAUGAAGUUGGGGUAGAGGGUGAUCACCUAAUUCAAUCAGCAAUUCUACUGAUUUGAACUGAGUUUUAAUCUUUCUAAGGACAAAUCUACAGGUUAAUUUCUAAUUUAUCCUUACUCUUAAUUGUUAAAGCUCAAACUGCAAGCUUUCAGUAUUUAUUAGUGACCCAUCUCUGUAGUGUCUGUGAAUGACAAAUUUGGUCUUCUUUGCCUGUAUUAAUAAUAACAAGAGGUCUAUUAACCUUCUCAGCUUUUUAACCACCCUUCUUAUUCAAGCUCUUUUACUUGGCUUCUCAGCCUCUUAGUCACCAGCUGCAAAUAGGUGAAAAGAUAUCUCAAAUAAUGUACUCACUUCUAUAUUUUCCUUUUCUUGAUUUUGGGCCCUUAGGUCCUUGAUGUCAGGUUGGCUCUCUGAGGUCAUUGAAUCAAUUUUGUUUAUUUAGUUGAAGAUUUUAUCCACUUUUUUUUAGUUUCCUGUUUCAGCAGGACAAUUGGUCUGUUAGCUUAUUUCACCAUUACUAUAAACAGAAAUCCCAUUUAUUGAUUUAAGCAAAAGAGCAAUCAUAAAUCCAUCAAGGUACCUGGCCAAACUGCUAUUUGAUCCCUAAAAAGAACAAAGUGACGAGAACAAAGAUCAUGGAGAGUCAGAAAAAACAGACUUGAAUAAAACUUUCACUUAAUUUUAACUCA